rnacentral:sRNA from 1 species
ACAUCACAUUGUUUCUCUACAGAGGACACUAUCAUAAGUAUUGCAUUGACAAAAAAACAACUAGACAGCACUAUAAAUCUUGAUGAAAAUUCACACUAUAUUUUAUACUGAAUGUUCAGUUUUUAAUUGUUUCAUUGUAUGAUUCUAUUCUAAUUCACUGUCAUUCAAUAUGUAAUUUAUCUGUCUAUAAAUUCUAGACUGGCUGGUGGGACCAUGAAUUACAUAUUUGAUUUAAUUUGAUUUGAUUUCAGUCCAUUUCUUGGUGUGACUUUCAGUGGAACCAGAAUCAAAAUAAGAGUGUAAAGUGACUAGAAUUAUUAAAAUAUAAAUGAA